GGUGCAGUGGUUAAAACGCUCAGCUGCUAAUUGAAAGGUUGGUGGUUCGAACCCACCAGCACCU
rnacentral:tRNA from 1 species